GCCCGGUCGCGCUGUGCCGUGGGGAGCUGGGAGGCCGGACUCCUGGGUUCUCUCCCGGCUCUGGGAGGGGAGCAGCGACGCGUGGGUACAAGAGGGCUCGGGCCAGCCUGUGGUGUAUGUCACUGUCACAAAGCUCACACCCAUGUCCCUUCCCAGCGCCAUGGGGAGAGCAGCUGCCUCAUACAGAUGCCGUGUUCUGGCCUCAGUGCUGCUGCUGAAGGAGUUGGCGCCCAGGCUGGCUGCCUCCACCCACUGCCCUGCACACCACACGUACGGACACAGUGGUCAAAGUCAAACUCAUCAAGGGCCCAUGGGAUGUCGACCACAGCUGGCUCUUCCAGAAGCUCGCCAUGCCCUGCGCUUGCCAUGAAAGGCAUCGGGGGGAGGAAGGGACGGAUCCUGUGUGUGACCCAGCUCCAGCCAAGGUUGUGGCUACAGAGCCCUGCCAGCCCAGCAUUGACCAGUAGCACUGACUCUGGUAUCCCUACACUCAGCACCCGCUAACCUCUGUUAGCCCAAGGCCAGCAUCCCCUCUGGCUGCUGGAGAAGAGGAUGCUGGUCUGUGGGGUAACGUCUCCCCUCCUCAUCCUUUCUCCACUGGACCUUUCCUCUAUCUCACAGCACCUCUCAUAAAGUGCCUGGGUCUCUGCCUGCUUCUAGUAGCUGCUUUGCAUAAGAGGGAGGAAGCCCAGUCCCUGUGGUUUAGGCGGCCUAAGAGCUAACUGGCUGAAAAGGGGAAGGGUGUUGGGACAGGUGGUGCGGGGCAGGGAGGAUUAGUCAGAUUCAGGACACCUGGGUUCUAUCCCUGGCUCCUGGAGAGGAGUGGAGGCUGGUGGGGUAAAGAAGUGGGAGCUGGGAGCCUGGACUGCCUUGGAAUGGGAUCCCAGCCAUGUCUUCCUUGUGACUCUUCCUGCAGACCCAACCCUAAUCUCAGCACCAACCUGCCAAGGGUGCAAAAGCAUGCCCAAAGCAUCCACUGAGGCGGCCAUCAAGGGAGGGGUACAGAGCUGGGUCCCAGCAGCCCCAGCUCAUGGGGCACAGGGGCUCAUGAGCUGCAGCCUUGCUGCAUUCUCUGGGCCAUGUUGAGGAGCACUGGGAGCCUUGAAUGAGGGAGCGAGGCUGGGCUUGUGGUUAUGGGGCUGGGCUGGGCUGGGCUGCAGGAGUCCUGGUGUCUAUUCUGAACUCUGGCACUUGCUGCAUCUGUGACAUUGGGCAAAUCACUUGGGUCAUAGGGAAUCAGAGCAGUGGUGUGUCCACUCCAGUGUCCUGUUUCCAGCACCAGAGGCUGCAGAGGCAGGUGUAAGAAUCCCGCAGUUGUGGAUGUGGGGAUAAUCACGCUGCGCUAGUGUCACUGUGCUUCAGAGGGUCACACCAGGAAUACCAGAUUCAGGACAAACUGCUGAGAAACAGGUGUAGACACACCAAACCUGGUGGUUAUUCCUCCAUGAGAUAUACCAAACCAGUAAACAUUUGUCUCACCACAGUGGCUAACAGUCAGAACUGCAGCCUCCUUAGGUAUCCCAGUCCUUGUUUCACCACCCAGAUACUAGAUUUAAUGAUGAGUGGUUGUUUACAACCAAUUUCAUCAAACAAAGAGUUCCUCUGAUCCCAAAAGACCCACCCCCUUCCCAGGUUAAUAUAUAGCUCAGAUCUUGCCCAAUAAUCGCGUGGUUGCCAAUCCUUUGGUAUCUAAUAUCUAAAGGUUUAGGUAUAAGCGAAAAGAAAGAGGUGAGGGUUACAACAGUUAAAGGAAUCAAACACAUACACACAUUGCAAAGUUCUUGUGGCCGGUUUGAAGCAGUGAUGGAAUAAACUGCUGGAUUGUUAAGUCUCCGAUGGCAUCCAAAAGAAUGGAAGGUCCUGAGCCCAUUGAUUAGAAAACUCCUUUUAUUAUAAGUCCAUAGUCCAGAGAUCAGCGCAGGAAAGAGGCAAAAUGCAGAUGCUUCUAGGGCUUUUUAUAGCUUCUGCCAGGCCUAAGUGUUUCAUGAUUUCUUAUUUCUUUUUUAGUAUUUUGCUAAAUGUGCCAAAUAAGUCAAUAACCAGGCCUGCAUUUUGUCUUGUACAUGGGCGUAUUGUCCAAUUUUACAUUGUUAGAUUUAUCUGACAGACUGUGUGUGUUUUGUAUAAAAUACUUCUGAAAACAAGUAUGAUGUUCUGUGAGACUUAACUGUCAAUAAAACUAACUUGAAUGUAUGCUUAAAGUAGCUUAUCUAUACAAUAAUAUGCAGUUUGGUUUGAGUGUAUGCUUAACUGUUUUGAGAAAGAGGAGGGAAGGGUGGAUGUUAAAGUGUUAUGUGUCUGUAUAUACGUAUAAAUAAACACCACUUAUAGCUCUGGUAAAAAAUGCAAUCAACUCUAACACAAAAUAGUUUAAACUAUCCCUACAUUUUGUUUACAUGGGGUGUGUUGAACAAUUGAACACUAUUAGGUUUCUUUUAAGCUAGGCUGCAUGCGUAUUCUGUAUGAAAUAAUGCUGAAAAGUAUGAAUGUGUAUGUGAGCGGGUGACGUCUAUAAAGCUAGUUUGAAUGUAUGCUUAUGGUGGUUUAUAAGUUGGCUCGAAUAAUGCUUAUUCGUUUUAGGAAGUAGGGCCAAGAGAGGUUUGGGACUGGGACUGCGUGUGCAUGCUUUUGGGUUUUCUUUUUCUUUUUUAGUUUCUCUAUCCCUUCACCCACUUCCACAAUAUACAUAGGAAAGAACAGUUCUACCUGAUAUAACUGAGCAGCAUGAACGCCAAAAUGAUCAUUUACUGUGGUUCUCCUCUCCCGUGUCAUGUGGGCCACAAACAGACUGCUGAGACCGACCAGACCGCUCCAAAGCGGAGAACUCCUGACUCGCCGUGCCACCGGCUGACCCUACUGCGGACUCCACAACGUUCUCCAACUUGACCUCUUUGCCCACGACUUCGUUCUCGGGCUUGAGCCCCCUGUCCACCGUCUGCAGCCCCACCAAAGUAUCCACAGGGCUCUUGGCGGUGGAUGUGACGUCGCCACCAAGGGGGACAUCCAGCUCCGGAUAGAAGUGGUAGGUCCUCAGCGCAGGACCAGAGUGAGGGUUUGCCUCCCUUGCCUGCUGGGACGCCUGCCUCAGCUCCUUUAUCUUUGCUCAGCUCUGCUGCCUCCUCCUGCCUUGUAAACAGACUUUUGAUUCGGGCACCAUUUAAGGUUGUCAGAUCCCAAAAACCAGACACCCAGAAACCCUAAAUGGCACCUUGACACAAAAGCCAAAACCUGGACAGGUGGCAACCCUGCCAGUCACACAAUAGUACAUACUGCGGAACAGGCCCCUCCUUUCAGCUCAUUAAAAGCUGGGGCGUUCCUGGGUGGUCAGAUCUCUCCUUGCCCAGUUUGGCGGUGACAUCUGGAGGGUUGUAGGGGAUGUUACUCUUUCAUGCUGUACAAAGGGGUGUGUGAAACCCAGUGUUUUUAUUUAAAGGCACAGUAAGACAUUACACACUGAAGAGCUGUUUUUAAAGGCAGUGUGGUUCAGUGGGCUGAGCUAUGGGCUUGGACCUAGGAGACCAGAGUUCCAUUCCCAGCUCUGCCACUGGCCUGUUGACUGACCUUGGGUGAGGCUCUCUGUGCCUUAGUUUCCCCAUCUGUAAAAUGGGAACUGAGGCACUAAGUGGCUUUGUAAAGCACUUUGAGAUGUACAGCUGGCCCCCAUCUCUAAGUAUUUCAGUAAAUAUAUUUCAAGUACAACCAAAUCAAACAACCCGCCUACCCCAAGUGUUGAGACAUUUUUUCCUUCUCCAACCCCAAAACACAGGUCAGAGUGGGCUGUGUCAGUCCAGUCAAGGAGCUAUUGUGUAAGGGGUGGGGCAAUCAAAGCAUCAGACAGACUUUCAUGGAAGGAGAAAAAGCAGCCACUGCCCUAGGGGGAUGAAGGCUGCGCAGCUGGCUACUGCUGCCUUCAGCCCAUCUUUGCACAGAAAACAUCUGGUGCAAUGGCUGUUCCCCUGCAAGAAGCAUUGUGCUGUUUGACUCUCCCCUGAGAAUGUUCACAACCAUUUCCCCCUGUUCAUAAGCUGUUUUUGCAACAGAGAAUUCAUCUCUUCAUUGCAGUGUGGGCUGUCGGGGGGGUGGGGAGGAAGGGGAGGGGAAGAUGGCAACUUAAAGCUCUUCUUCACAGGCACAUGGUAAAAUAAAAACAAACUUCCUUCCCUACUUCUAACAGUGCAUGUACAAUUUAUAACUUCCAAAGCAUCCUGGUGCAUUCUUCAUCUCUAGCAAUUUUAAAAUCAAGAUUGGAU